CCCUUAGACGUUCUGGGCCGCACGCGCGCUACACUGACGAAGGCAACGAGCUUUCCUUUACCGAAAGGUACGGGUAAUCUUUUGAAACUUCGUCGUGCUGGGGAUAGAUCCUUGCAAUUUUUGAUCUUAAACGAGGAAUGCCUAGUAAGCGCAAGUCAUCAACUUGCGUUGAUUACGUCCCUGCCCUUUGUACACACCGCCCGUCGCUACUACCGAUUGAACGGUUUAGUGAGGCCUUCGGAUCCGCGACUCGUUUUGUGGAGAAGUUGGACAAACUCAGUCAUUUAGAGGAAGUAAAAGUCGUAACA
rnacentral:rRNA from 1 species